rnacentral:lncRNA from 1 species
CUGCUGUGCUAGCAAUCAGCGAGACUCCGUGGGCGUAGGACCCUCCGAGCCAGGUGCGGGAUAUAAUCUUGUGGUGCGCCGUGUUUUAAGCCCGUCGGAAAAGCGCAGUAUUCGAGUGGGAGUGACCCGAUUUUCCAGGUGCCGUCCGUCACCCCUUUCUUUGACUAGGAAAGGGAACUCCCUGACCCCUUGCGCUUCCCGAGUGAGGCAAUGCCUCACCCUGCUUUGGCUCGUGCACGGUGCGCGCACCCACUGACCUGCGCCCUCUGUCUGGCACUCCCUAGUGAGAUGAACCCGGUACCUCAGAUGGAAAUGCAGAAAUCACCCGUCUUCUGCGUCGCUCACGCUGGGAGCUGUAGACCAGAGCUGUUCCUAUUCGGCCAUCUUGGCUCCUCC